ensembl:lncRNA
GGAAUUUGGGAUCCCAGGAAUUUUGGGUUUCAGGAUUUUAGGAUCAAAGAGUUUGGGAAUUGGGGAAUUUGGGGUCUGGGAAAUUUGGGAUCCCAAGGAAUUUGGGGUCCAAGGAAUUUGGGGUCCAGGAGUUAGUUUGGGAUUUUGCAGCAUUUUUUUGGGAUUUUGGGGGAAGCCGGAAUUCCCGGGGUCAGAAAUCCCAUCCCCAUUUCCCCUCUCCCCAAAAUUCCCCAAAAUUCUCCAAAAUCCCGGAAUUCCGAACCUUUAUUGCACAACCACAGCGAGGGGAUCCCAAAUUUCAUCCCAAAAAUCCCAAAUUCCCUCCAGAAAUCCCAAAUUCUGCCCCAAAUUCCUUCGGGAUUGGGAAUUUUGGGGAUUGGGAUUUUUUGGGAAUUUGGGAUUUUUGGGGAACGGGGAAUUUUGGGGGGAAUUUUGGGGAUUGGGAUUUUUUGGGAACGGGGAAUUUUUGGGGGAUUUUUGGGAAGUUUGGGAAUUUUUGGGAAUUUGGGAUUUUUGGGAUUUCCCUGAGUUGUUCCCAAUCCUGGGGGGGAUCCUCGUACCGGGGGGGGGAGGGGACAUUGGGGACAGCAUUGGGGACAUUGGGAGUGUCCCUGUCCUGGGGGUGGCACUUUGGGGACUGUCCCUGUCACAGGGGUGGCACUUUGGGGACUGUCCCUGUCACAGGGGUGGCACUUGGGAAUGUCCCCUUGUCCCAGGGGGUGGCACUUUGUGGCGGGGUCCCCAUGGGGGUGUCACAGUUGGUCCCGGUGGCACUUGGGGACACUCCUGGUGACACUCCCACGGUGUCACAGUUGGUCCUGGUGGCAUUUGGGGACAAUGACACAAGUGGCCCUGUGCUCCGAGAUGUGGCAGCGACACUGGGGACAGUCCCAGUGACACGUGGGGACAUUGGGGACAGUCGCGGUGGCAUUGGUGGCAUUGGUGGCAGUCACAGUGACAUUGGUGACACUCCCACGGUGUCACAGGCGGUCCCGGUGGCACUUGGGGACAGUGACAGUGACACCGAUGGGUGUCACGGGCGGUCCCGGUGGCGCUUGGGGACAAUGACACGCGUGGCCCGGCGCUCCGAGAUGUGGCGGCGCACGCGGCCCGGGGGUGGCUCUGUCACCAGCGAGGGGCUCGAGUGGCACUUGGUGAGCGGCGCGGGGACAGGGGGACACUCGGCGCUGGCGCUGUCGCCGAGGGUGGCGCUGUCGCCGCUGUCCCCGCCCAGCCACGCCCCCAGCGCCUGCACGUAGGUCAGGCAGCGCUGGCGCUGCGGGGACACCGGGGACACGCGUGUCACCAACCGGGUGGCACCGGUGUCACCUCCCCGUGUCACCAACCGGGGUGGCACCGGUGUCACCAGGUCACCCUGUCCCCAUUGUCCUCAAUCCAGUGUCCCCAGUGUCCCCACUGUCCCAGUAUCCCGGACAUCCCCAAUCCCUCAGUGUCCCCCUGAUGUCCCCAAUGUCCCCAUUGUCCCCAAUCCCCCAAUGUCCCCAUUGUCCCCGGUGUCCCCGUUGUCCUCUUUGCCCCCUAAAUGUCCCCAAUGUCCCUGUGCCACCCCACUGUCCCCCCAAUGUCCCCAUUGUCCCCAAUGUCCCCAGUCCCUCAAUGUGUCCCCAGCGUCCCCAUUGUCCCCAAUGUCCCCGAUGUCCCUGUGCCACCUCAAUGUCCCCAUUGCCCCAAUGUCCCCAUUGUCACCUGCUGGCACUGGAAAUCCCAUUGUCCCCAAUGUCCCCAUUGCCCCCAUUCUCCUCAAUGUCCCCAAUGUCCUCAAUGUCCCUGUGCCACCCCAAUGUCCCUGUGCCACCCCAGUGUCCCUGUGCCACCCCAAUGUCCCUGUGCCACCCCAUUGCCCCCAUUGUCACCUCGUGCCGCAGGAAGUCCCCGUGUGCCCGGUGUCCUCAAUGUCCCCAUUGCCCCCAUUGUCCCCAGUGUCCCUUCUGUCCCAAAUAUCCCUGUGCCACCCCAAUGUCCCCAUUGUCCCCUGGUGUCCCCAUU